UUUAAUUGAUAUGAAGAGCUUGCUCUGAUUUGAUUUUAUCUGACAAAGAGUGGCGAACGGGUGAGUAACACGUGGGUAACCUACCUCUUAGCAGGGGAUAACAUUUGGAAACAAGUGCUAAUACCGUAUAACACUAACAACCGCAUGGUUGUUAGUUGAAAGAUGGUUCUGCUAUCACUAAGAGAUGGACCCGCGGUGCAUUAGCUAGUUGGUAAGGUAAUGGCUUACCAAGGCGAUGAUGCGUAGCCGAGUUGAGAGACUGAUCGGCCACAAUGGGACUGAGACACGGCCCAUACUCCUACGGGAGGCAGCAGUAGGGAAUCUUCCACAAUGGGCGCAAGCCUGAUGGAGCAACGCCGCGUGUGUGAUGAAGGGUUUCGGCUCGUAAAACACUGUUAUAAGAGAAGAACGACAUUGAGAGUAACUGUUCAGUGUGUGACGGUAUCUUAUCAGAAAGGAACGGCUAAAUACGUGCCAGCAGCCGCGGUAAUACGUAUGUUCCAAGCGUUAUCCGGAUUUAUUGGGCGUAAAGCGAGCGCAGACGGUUAUUUAAGUCUGAAGUGAAAGCCCUCAGCUCAACUGAGGAAGGGCUUUGGAAACUGGAUAACUUGAGUGCAGUAGAGGAAAGUGGAACUCCAUGUGUAGCGGUGAAAUGCGU
rnacentral:rRNA from 1 species